UACGUAGGGUGCAAGCGUUGUCCGGAAUUAUUGGGCGUAAAGAGCGCGCAGGCGGUCGUUCAAGUCGAGUGUGAAAGCCCCCGGCUCAACUGGGGAGGGUCAUUCGAUACUGAUCGACUCGAAGGCAGGAGAGGGAAGUGGAAUUCCCGGUGUAGUGGUGAAAUGCGUAGAUAUCGGGAGGAACACCAGUGGCGAAGGCGGCUCACUGGCCCGGUACUGACGCUGAGGUGCGAAAGCGUGGGGAGCAAACAGG
rnacentral:rRNA from 1 species